GUACACUCCUACGGGAGGCAGCAGUGGGGAAUAUUGGACAAUGGGCGCAAGCCUGAUCCAGCCAUGCCGCGUGAGUGAUGAAGGCCCUAGGGUUGUAAAGCUCUUUCACCGGUGAAGAUAAUGACGGUAACCGGAGAAGAAGCCCCGGCUAACUUCGUGCCAGCAGCCGCGGUAAUACGAAGGGGGCUAGCGUUGUUCGGAUUUACUGGGCGUAAAGCGAACGUAGGCGGACUAUUAAGUCAGGGGUGAAAUCCCGGGGCUCAACCCCGGAACUGCCUUUGAUACUGGUAGUCUUGAGUUCGAGAGAGGUGAGUGGAAUUCCGAGUGUAGAGGUGAAAUUCGUAGAUAUUCGGAGGAACACCAGUGGCGAAGGCGGCUCACUGGCUCGAUACUGACGCUGAGGUGCGAAAGCGUGGGGAGCAAACAGGAUUAGAUACCCUUGUAGUCCCAUGAU
rnacentral:rRNA from 1 species